AGAGGCAUCUCGGGACUUGUCCAGGCAGCACUUGAAACCACUGAUGGACCUCGGCAGUCUGGGAGGCACCCCCGGCAGCUCCGCCGCUGAGCCAGCCUUCUCCUCAGCGGCAAACCCGCACAAUCCACGCCCAGCACCACUGCCGGGCCGGCGAGCACAUCCGGCAACCCCGCAUCCUCCGGGACCCUGGCACAACUGAGCCAGCCCCCAGCCCCCAGCAGCGUCUCACGCAAACCGCGCCCUGUGCCACCUCCACCGCGUGGGCAAACGCUGGAAGUUGCUGCGCCAGGUCACCCACAUUAAACAGCCCCUGCCACAGCCCCCUGAGACCUUGUCGCUCGCUCAAGAGCGGCCAAACACCUCCUAAACUUGAUAAGCCCCAGCCUGGCAUCCCCAGGUGUCCCUGAUAUUCUUUUCCUUUUGUAAGCAUCUGGGCAAACUAUCAGCAUAUUUUAUCUUCCCUUCAAGGAGGGCUUUUCUGCUAGAUCUUCCUGAAUCCCAGUUCAGCACUGAACAACCUCCAAACAACCAUGUGUUAAGACACCUCCCUGCUCUUCAUACAGAAAUUGUAUUCAAACUCCUGUCCUCCUCCAGUACCAAGUUAUCAUUAUUCCACAUUCCAACAUUAUAGUCUAUUAACCACUUUUUUUUUCUUUUUCAACCUCUCUUUUUCUUUUUUCAUUUUUUUCUCUUUGUUUUUUUUUUCUCCACUCUAUUUUUCCUCUGAAUUAACACACUUUGGACUGCAUGAGGUGUACACACAACUAGUUUAAAAGUAAGUGCACAGCUCUCUCUUCUUAUGGUACAACCCCCAUUUCCAGUUGCAUCUGCAAGUUUCUCCCCAACAAGCUGAUGCCUGCUCCAGGAACCAGCAAGACAUCUAUUCCUAUUCCAGUCUCCUCCUUAAUUACUCCAUCUUCAAUGGCAGGGAUUUUAAACUUUUCUCUCUCUGCAUUCUUCCUCUUCCACUGUGUCACUAUCUAUAUCAUAUCUCCCUGAAAUCUUCACCACACAAGUUCUCUCUGCCCCAGAAUCAACUACAAAUUCCAAUACUUCCUUUUGGGGGCCUGCUUCCCAAGUUACCAAAGGCUCCAGAUGGCAUUCUUCCCCCAGUAAACAGAGCCUAUGACCUUUCCGCUCCUUCACAGGGCACUCCCCCUGAAGCACCUCCAAGUCUCCCUCUAAGUGAGGGUGUUCUCCCCUGCUGUAGCAGCAACAGGCAUUCCUAGUCCCUUCCUGAGACCCUGACCACCGUGGGGCUCUGCUCCCCUCCUGAACCUCUCCCAUAGAUACAGCGGGAGCUGAAAUCACUGAGAGAGCAGAGACAAGAGCAGGGGAUGGCACUGAGGCUGGAACCAAUAAAAGGACAAAGUUAGGAGCGGAAGUCAGCAGGAAAGCCAGAAUCAACAAAGAAGCAGAGGUAGGAGCAGGAGCAGGCAGCUCUAGAAUCAUGGUGGGGACAGGAAUGGAUGGGGAGGGCUGGAGUUCCUGACACAGGCAGAGAAGCUGAUACAGGUAGGGAGACUGAGGUACAGGUAGGGAGCUGAUGCAGGUAGGGAGCUCCUGACAUGAAUAGAGAAACUGGAGACAGAGAGAGGCAACAUUUCCAGGAGUCCCAGGCCCUUUCUUUGGUUUUCUGUCUCAUUUCCCCAGGGCCCCACCCACACGUCCCUGCUCCAAACCAUUCCCCUGACAGCUUAAACACCUCCCACUCUUCACAGCAUAGAAAAUCCUUUAUCUUCAUUAGUAUAAUAUAAUCCACCUUCCUCCAGAAAAUAAAGUUAAACUUUAAAUCAACAA